GCUGGCGGUGCGCCUUAUGCAUGCAAGUCGAGCGAAGCUUUUCAGUAGUUUACUACAGAAAAUGACUGAGCGGCGAACGGGUGAGUAACGCGUGAGCAAUCUACCUUAGUUACAGGGAUAGCCCGAGGAAACUCGGAUUAAUACCUGAUAUUCUUUUUAUCUCGCAUGAGAUUUUAAGGAAAGGUCAGCCGAACUAAGAUGAGCUCGCGUUCUAUCAGCUAGUUGGUGAGGUAAUAGCUCACCAAGGCUACGACGGAUAGCUGGUCUGAGAGGACGAUCAGCCACACUGGGACUGAGACACGGCCCAGACUCCUACGGGAGGCUGCAGCAGGGAAUAUUGCGCAAUGAGCGAAAGCUUGACGCAGGCGACACCGCGUGUGGGAUGACGGAUCUAGGUUUGUAAACCACUUUCAGGAGGGAAGAAAAUGACGGUACCUCCACAAGAAGCCCCGGCCAACUACGUGCCAGCAGCCGCGGUAAUACGUAGGGGGCGAGCGUUGUCCGGAUUUAUUGGGCGUAAAGAGCUCGUAGGCGG
rnacentral:rRNA from 1 species